CCUACGGGAGGCAGCAGUAAGGAAUAUUGGACAAUGCUCGCAAGAGUGAUCCAGCCAUGCCGCGUGCAGGAAGAAUGCCCUAUGGGUAGUAAACUGCUUUUGAACUAGAGAAAACCCCAGUACGUGUACUGGGCUGAUAGUAUAGUUAGAAUAAGCAUCGGCUAACUUCGUGCCAGCAGCCGCGGUAAGACGAAGGAUGCAAGCGUUAUCCGGAUUCAUUGGGUUUAAAGGGAGCGUAGGUGGACUGAUAAGUCAGUGGUGAAAUCUCCGAGCUUAACUCGGAAAUUGCCAUUGAUACUGUUGGUCUUGAGUACAGUUGCUGUGGGCGGAAUAUGACAUGUAGUGGUGAAAUACAUAGAGAUGUCAUAGAACACCGAUUGCGAAGGCAGCUCACAAAGCUGUAACUGACACUGAGGCUCGAAAGUGCGGGGAUCAAACAGGAUUAGAUACCCUGGUAGUCCGCACCGUAAACGAUGAUUACUCGCUGCUAGGGGGCAACCUUUAGUGGCUUAGCGAAAGCGAUAAGAAUCCACCUGGGGAGUACGUCGGCAACGGUGAAACUCAAAGGAAUUGACGGCGNGAGAGNGCGAGGACGACACGAGGGAGGAGG
rnacentral:rRNA from 1 species